GAGGAGCGAGGCUGGCAGAAACUCACUGCCCUGCUCCAGGGCCACAAUGGGGGAGGGAGGAAAGAAUGGAACAGAACUGAGAUUUUCAAGGCCAAUGCUCACCCCUCCCGAGUUGGCUGCUAAACUCAUGCUUCCCUGCUUCUGUCAACACUUCACUCCAGGGAGGGAAUGUUUUGGAUCUUCAUCUAAUUUCCUUGGUAUUGAGGGAAUGGGCCAGCUGUGUGCAAUGAGGAGACCCCCUCUCACCCUGGCCGGCUGCACACACGCCUACGAGGACGGCGCGGAACCCCUCAUUUGCACCCGCACAACUGCUGCGUAGGCUCCGUGGCCCGAACAGAGAAAGAGGCGGGUUGUGCUGCCAUCUGGCGUCCACACGAGAUAUCUCCUAGAAUAUCACAUGCAUGCUUUAAAGCUUCAAGAACCUCCGAAAUUUCCUCUUUUCUAUCACUAAAGGUUUUUAAGUCUAGUAAAUUAAACUUCAGGAAAUAAAAUGAACGCUAAUAAGCUGGCACUUUGUCCACAGAAA
ensembl:lncRNA